CACAGACUUAUUGUUAGUCAGCUGAGUCAAACGGAGGCUUGUAUUGGGAUAACAUGCGUGUCUGACUGCCCUGUUUAAAAAUUCGCUCUGCUGUGCUGAAAAAUUAAAUCAUUUUAGGUUUUUUAUAAAAAAUGUUUCACUUGCUGAUGUUUUGCGCUCUUUUUGUGAUUGGUUCGACCAUUCCUCACACAAAUUCGGAUGAGAGGAAACAAAUAAGUCCAAACUGCACAUCAUUAGAAAUAUCAAAUAAAUGUUCGGGAAACUUCACUCAGCAAAUUGGAAUUGAAGGCUUGGAGUGCACUAUCGAAAGUUUCGCCUACCCAGACAAUUUCCUCAGUAUGAAAUCAGGGUGGUGGUACAAGUACGCAAUUUUGGAGAAAGGCAACCCACGCAGAGACACUAGUUGGAACUGGAGAGCCGUGUGGCAAAUUUCGACCGUAGACGUAGAGGGUGAGAAACUUUUCCUCCUCAAAGAUCAAAAGAACAACAGGUACUUGUCGUUCAACAAGCUCAUAUACAACUACUUGAGGGGUGAGAGCAACCCCAGGAUGAUGGACAACUUGUGGAAGAUUGCGAGGGUUAGUGCGAGCAGAGAGAGCGUGACGCUUCAAAGGCACCUGACGCCUCGUGAAUAUUUGCACGCCUCUUGGAGAGUCAAAGGCGACGAGCGCCAGUUAGAGAUGCACGAGGAACCCCACGCCGACGCGGACCAGUGGCUCAUUCAUUGCAGCGGCUAGUGAAUAAAAAAAUAAAAAUUAAAUUUUUUUUAAAUUUAUUUCCAUAAUUUAUAAUCAUUGGCAAAAUGUGAUAAUAUCUUCUCUAUGUUUUGAUGUUUUUGUAAUUUGUCUUUUUGACCGAAUCCGGCUUGAGCAUGGCGUGUUCAGUGUCACGCUCAUGAGAAGAUAGCCUUUGGCCUCCUAUUGCUAAAGGUCUCGGAUUACGCGCAGCUAUCAUGAUGCGAAAUGCGGAGUUGAUGAGCUGUUUGGAGAGGCGCUUUGGCCUGGCUUGUUCACAACAUACAAAUUGAAAUCGCGAUUGAAGGACCAGUAAUGAAGUCCCUUCUGGUGGUGGUGGUCGCUGUGAUUGUCAACUCGGAGGCCGCCGUCCCAACGGGCGAGAGCUGCGAAAUCAAGAGCGCCGCAUUCAGCGACUAUCUGUACUUGUCGGCCGGCUGGGUGAGCCAGAAUCCAAUUUUGUGGCCGGUCAGGCCUCAAUUGGCCAGCAGGCGGAAAAUGCACGGAAAGUGGCGUAUCGAGGCCAAGGAGAAUCGCGGAAAGACGUUUUACCGACUGUGGAACCACGGCGCAGAAACGUUUUUGGUGGCCAAGGGAGACGGCGUUGGAACGAGGAAGACCUCAGGUGGAAAGGACAGCGACCUGCUGUGGAAGAUCGAAGCGCUGGGUGCCAGCGAAGGUGCCACUUUGUCGCAGGACGGAGAAUUUUUGGUCGCCAAAGAGGACAAGGCGGGAGAGGAAAGGGAACUGAAAAUGGGGCCCAGAUCUAAUAAGAAAUCAGCAAAGUGGGUUAUAAACUGCUAAAAAAAAUACAGUUAAAAAUGUAAGGAAAAUUAAUUUUUUUUUCUAAUUCACAGAGGUUUGAAAUCAAAUUGAAAUAAAUCGUUACAACUUAUAAUGAAAUUUUUUGUAUUUUUUAAGUAGUAAUAUUUUGUUUAAUUAAUUAAAAAAUUUAAAAAACAUCAUAAAUUAUAAUUUUAUACUUUGUAUUUUGUUUUUAAUUCUUGGCAUCAUUGAUCAAAAUGCUAUUCUGGUCGUAGUAUCAAUUUCUGACUUCUGAGUGGUAUAUUUUACAGCAGUUCAAAACUUGGAAGAUUUAAAAAAAAUUGCGCAUUGGUGGUUAUGAUUUUCAUUUAGUGUUGUUAACCGACUUUAUAAAAAUUCAACAUCUCGUUUUUUUCUUAAUAAAUUAUAUAAUAUUUUAAGCUGCAA